rnacentral:ribozyme from 18 species
UCUUUUGUCCACUUUUUUCUAUAUAUUUUUUUAUUUUAUUGCCAGUACCAGGUACUAGCUAGAUGCUAUUGCUUCUAAAGGCAUGAUUGCUAUGCGUCACCAGACAAAUAACAAAGAACAAGAUGCAACAAAUGUUGAAUUUUUCUUUAUUUUACACUAA